UUGCAGUUAAAGAGCUUAGAGUAAUAAUUACUGUGUUCAUCACAAUUAGGUUAUAUUCUUCCUUGUUGCAUAUCUUGAUUCUCACAUUUAGGUUAUGAGAGCCAGUUCUUCAAUAUCUGUUACGAUUUGGAUUCAAUAGUCUUAUCUAUUCUGUUAUUUGAGUCAGGUCAACAUCAGUAUAUCUAUUAUGUCACUCUCAAGUCUCAACUGGUGGAAAUUGACAGUUCAACCACAAAGUUCAUCUUAUAAAGGUAUGAAUCUUCCUCCUGCCAAUUACAUUUUUGUAAUGUUCAUUCUACAGCAACUACUAGUGUAGACCAGGCGUAAUUGCUGGUAAGUCUGCUGGAAUGGAAGUGGUUGUUGUUCCAUCUCUUCCAAAACAGACCCAUUGAUCUUUUCACUGCAGCAGAUGAAUUGAUUAAUUCCCUUCUCGACUUGCGUCCAGAAAAAUGGGGCCUGCCUCCUUUCGAUGAUUGUAAAGUCUUCUUCUAUUUAUUCAUCAUGAUCAUAUCUUUAUCAGCUUCCCUUAAUCAUAUAACACUACAUUUAAGUAUCAUUAUAUGGGUUGAAGGAACUCUGCCUUUAGAACCUUGGCAUAUAAGAGGUCCUGUUAUUAAAGGAUAUGGUCAUGGUUCAAAGGUUCUUGGAAUUCCUACAGCUAAUUUGUCAGCCGAGGGCUUCUCUGAUACGCUGUCAGAACAUCCUUCGGGUGUAUAUUUUGGUUGGGCUGGAUUGUCAGGACGAGGAAUUUACAAGAUGGUGAUGAGUAUCGGAUGGAAACCAUAUUUUAACAAUGCUGAAAAAUACUAUAUUGAGUCUAUAUUCAUCUUGAAAACAUAUUUGGAAACACUUUUUUGAGUCUCGAUGAAACCAUCAGUAAAUUUAUUUGAAUUUUUUAUGUUGAGUAUCUGAAACAAAACUUAUUGACUGUUUCUCAUCUAAAUCCAUAUAAAGUAAGUGUCUUCAAAUGGUUAUAAACGUUUUCCUUAUACUGUGGAAUGAAUCGUGGUUAUAAAAACUUUCAGGAGCCAUGGUUGCUUCAUGAAUUCAACGAUGAUUUUUAUGGCGAGGAAUUAAGACUUGUGAUUGUUGGCUAUAUACGCCCAGAGGCGAAUUUUCCAUCACUUGAUAGCUUAAUUGAGAAAAUCCAUGAUGAUGGAAGAAUUGCUGAUAGAGCACUUGGACUUCCUUUAUACUCAAAAUACAAGCAAGAAAGAUUCAUAUUUAUUGUCAUUGGACAAUGGUAUAAUGGUAUAGUUAGUAAUCAUCAUUAUUUGAUAAAUUCUUCAUUCAAUGAAGAAACUGUCAUACCACCACUCCACUAGGGGUGGCCAUGUA